AACGAACGCUGGCGGCAUGCCUAAUACAUGCAAGUCGAGCGAACAGUUCAGGAGCUUGCUCCUCUGACGGUAUAGGCGGACGGAUGAGUCACACGUGUAUAACAUACCUCUACGACUGGGAUAACUACGGGGAACAGGAGCUACUACCGGAUAAUUUAUUGACCCGGAUGGGGCAAUAGUGAGAUACGGUUUUGGUGUCGCUAAUAGCUGGCUCAGCGCCGCAUUAACUAGUUGGUAAGGUAAAGGAUUAACAACGCGACGAUGCGGAGCCGACCUCAAAGGGACAUCCGCCACACGGGCACUGAGACACGGUCCAGACUCCGACGGGAGGCAGCAGUAGGGACUCUUACGCAAUGGGCGAAAGCCUAAUAGUGCACAGCCGCGUGAGUCAUGAACGUCUACGGAUCGGAAAGCGAUGUUAGUAGUGAAGAACAAAUGCGCAAGUAACUAUGCACGUCUUGACGGUACCGAAUCAGAAAGCCCCGGCUAACUCCGUG
rnacentral:rRNA from 1 species